rnacentral:lncRNA from 1 species
AUCCUGACACAGGAAGUCAUGGUUUGGGAAGUGGGCUUUAAACAUUGUUCUUCUCCCUAGGUCUGGCUCCUAAGAUGCAGAUGUGCUGAGUCUCUUGCCCCACCCCCAAGCUGACUCUGGAAUUGGGAUGUAUAAUCAGGUGGUUUAUUGAGAUGAACUCUCAGAUUAAUACCUAAGAGUGUGUACAGGGAGCAGGACCCACAGAGGGAGAAGUAGACGGACUUGCAGUCAGCACGAGGAGACUCCUCGGAUCUCACGCCGAGCCCUGAAGCUGGAACGCCCUUCAGAGUCACUCCAAAUUGUGGAGCAGAGACCAGGCCUUACUCACUCCCUGAGCAGUCUUUGGAUGUGGGCUGCACAUCUUAGAAGAGCAGAACCUUGGGAGAGUAGCUCUCUUGAUCUGAGGCCAGUCCGUGGUCACUGCACUAGUCUGCAUCUCCCGGGAACUUGUUAGAAAUGUUCAUUCUUGUGUGCCAUCCCAGACCUUCUGAAUCAGGAACUCUGAGGGUCAAGUGUUUACAGACAAGAGUAGAGAAAAAGGGAAACUCAUCAAACAAAUAAUGACAUAAGUAGAGAGGUCUGGCACAUUGAUGUUAUCACCAGAUACGGCUUCAUAGGAAGGAGCAGAGCACAGUGAAGUUCAUGGCUAUGGCGGCCGCUGUAGAGUCCAGCUGCACCCUCAGGAAAGCUGCAAAUGUCAGAACACCGAGUACACCAGGAUCCUGCUCCCAUGAUCCUCAUGGCUUAACUCUCUAUGGCAAGCAAGAAAAAAAAUCUCAAUCCUGUCAAUUGUAUUUAUU